rnacentral:rRNA from 1 species
UACGGGGGGGGCAAGCGUUGUUCGGAAUUACUGGGCGUAAAGGGCUCGUAGGCGGCCAACUAAGUCAUACGUGAAAUCCCUCGGCUUAACCGGGGAACUGCGUCUGAUACUGGAUGGCUUGAGUUCGGGAGAGGGAUGCGGAAUUCCAGGUGUAGCGGUGAAAUGCGUAGAUAUCUGGAGGAACACCGGUGGCGAAGGCGGCAUCCUGGACCGAUACUGACGCUGAGGAGCGAAAGUGUGGGGAGCGAACAGG